rnacentral:rRNA from 1 species
AACGAACGCUGGCGGCAUGCCUAACACAUGCAAGUCGAACGAAGCCUUCGGGCUUAGUGGCGCACGGGUGCGUAACACGUGGGAAUCUGCCCUUCGGUUCGGAAUAACAGUUAGAAAUGACUGCUAAUACCGGAUGAUGACGAAAGUCCAAAGAUUUAUCGCCGAAGGAUGAGCCCGGUAGGAUUAGGUAGUUGGUAGGGUAAUGGCCUACCAAGCCGACGAUCCUUAGCUGGUCUGAGAGGAUGAUCAGCCACACUGGGACUGAGACACGGCCCAGACUCCUACGGGAGGCAGCAAGUGGGGAAUAUUGGACAAUGGGCGAAAGCCUGAUCCAGCAAUGCCGCGUGAGUGAUGAAGGCCUUAGGGUUGUAAAGCUCUUUUACCAGGGAUGAUAAUGACAGUACCUGGAGAAUAAGCUCCGGCUAAACUCCGUGCCAGCAGCCGCGGUAAUAGUACUCCUAU